AUUGAACGCUGGCGGCAGGCCUAACACAUGCAAGUCGAGCGGAGCGGCGGACGGGUGAGUAAUGCCUAGGAAUCUGCCUGGUAGUGGGGGAUAACGUCCGGAAACGGGCGCUAAUACCGCACACUAUCAGAUGAGCCUCGGUCGGAUUAGCUAGUUGGUGGGGUAAAGGCCUACCAAGGCGAUGAUCAGUAACUGGUCUGAGGGGAUGAUCAGUCACACUGGAACUGGGACACGGUCCAGACUCCUACGGGAGGCAGCGGUGGGGAAUAUUGGAAAAUGGGCGAAAGCCUGAUCCAGCCAGGCCGGGGGUGUGAAGAGGGUGUUCGGAUUGUAAAGCACUUUAAGUUGGGAGGCGUUACCAGCAGAAUAAGCACCGGCUAACUUCGUGCCAGCAGCCGCGGUAAUAC
rnacentral:rRNA from 1 species